AAAUAACCAGAUCUGUGUAUAUUUUCCUAUUUCUUUUUUCCAAUGUAAAAGGCAUAAGUACAGGUUGAAAAUCCAAAAUCUAAAAUGCUCCAGAACCUGAGACUUUGUGUGCCAACCUGGUGCAGCCAGGAGAAAACGCCAACCUGAUGUCAUGUGAUGAUGGGUCGUAGUCUAAACACAGGGAACUGGCCAGGUAUCCAGGGAAAGAAGAGGUGAACCAGUGAUUACGCGCCUUAGAGAGCCGAAAGCCUUAACCCCAAGCCUUUCCAAUUUAAAGUUUUAACUUUCCUUACAAAAGCUGACCAAUACCUCCAGGAUAUAUGUUGCAAACACUUCCUCC
rnacentral:lncRNA from 1 species